AAAAUGAUGUCUCCCACAGGAAUGAUCUUAAUAGGGAUUAGGAAUGGGCUCAAGGCUAGGUGGUCAUGGUCACGGGUUACAACGACGACGACUUGAAUUAGUAGAAUCCAGGCUGGAUCUUGAGAUGCACAUGAAAAUGAAAGCCCGAAAGAAAGGUCAAUCUAAUCUGGAAUCUAUCAUCAGGAUUUGGACCA